rnacentral:rRNA from 2 species
UACAGAGGGUGCGAGCGUUAAUCGGAAUUACUGGGCGUAAAGGGUGCGUAGGUGGUUUCGUAAGUUAGGUGUGAAAGUCCUGGGCUUAACCUGGGGAUUGCGCCUGAUACUGCGAAGCUAGAGUACUGUAGAGGAAAGUGGAAUUUCCGGUGUAGCGGUGAAAUGCGUAGAUAUCGGAAGGAACAUCGGUGGCGAAGGCGACUUUCUGGACAGCUACUGACACUGAGGCACGAAAGCAUGGGGAGCAAACAGG